GCCCCGGUGCCGGCCUGAGGGCGGCCGUGGCUGCGCAGCGGCGCCAUUGGCGGAGCGGGCCCGGGAGCGGCGGCGGAGCUCGGAGGCGGCCGGAGCGCAGUCAGAGAGUAGCAGCACUGCUACCAGUGGCAGUCUGGUACGGACUGGCCUCCUCACCUCUGAUCCACAGGGGUUUUCUUGGUGCCCUGAGAGUUUUUCCCAGAUGGAGUUCCCGAUCCAGUCUUGCCUCUCACCUCUGGUUUUCCCUUCUUCUGGAGCCAUUCUGCCAUGACCCUUAUUGUAGCAACUGCCUUCCCUCAAUUUGGUCCCAAUUCGGGUUGCAAGGAGAGCGCUCUAUGGAACAGUACUGGAAACUGAGAUGUUAUUUUGACUGUCAACUCUGAGCUGAACAAAACUUGAACUUUAUAACUAUAACUGAUAAAAACGCGAGCAGGCUCCCAGUACCAAAGUGAUUUCAGCAUUUAUUACAAGAAAAAGAAAGGCCCAAAGCAAGGGGGCCCGCGGGCCGAGCAGGAGCGUUCCCGUCGAGGAUGCUGCAGCGCCGGCGCUGGGGCUGCUUCAGCAGCGAUGGCCCCGAUGUCCCAGGUGGAGCGGCACAGAUUCAGUGGUGUGCUCUGGGAAUCCUGAACUUCAUGUGCCAGAGGAAUCUUUAACUUUGUGUGCCCCGGGACUCCUGAAUUUCGUGUCUCCCGAGAAUCCUGACUUUCGUGUGCCCCCAGAAUCCUGAAUUUCAUGUGCUCUGAGAUUCUUGAAUUCCGUGUGCCCUAGUAUCCUGAACCUCGUGUGCCCCAGGAAUCCUGAACUUCAUGUUCCCUGGGAAUCCUGAACUUCACCUGUCCCUGCCUUUCUCAGACACCGGCUGCCACUGUCCUGUCCUCACUGUUUUCUUCAUUACUGCUCUGCAUUUUCUCCACACCAUAGCCACCCCCUACUGCCUUGCCUGCAGGUCCCCACAGUUCCACCUCCCUCAAAACUCCUGAUACAUCUCAAACUUCUGAUACAUCUCAGUGUCCUGGGUUGCCAAGCACAUUGUGUUCUAUUUGCCAUCUGCAUGGCAGUUGUCUUCUGAUAAUUGGGCAGUUUUCCUUAUCUCUUCCACCACCACUCCUCCCUCCAGAGACAUCUGCUGAUAACAGGCCAUUGAAUGUCACUGCAUGGCUGAUAACAACUAUGGCAUCCCAUUGGGAGAUGCUCUUCCCAGAGGGAGGAGCCAAGCAUUCCUACCCGGAUAUAAUCUGGAGAUUCUGGAACAGCAGCACGGCUUCUCCACUGGAUUCCCAGAGGAACAGCAGCUGCCUCUUCCCCUGGAUCUUCAGAGGAAGAACACACCCUUUUACAGGAUCCCUGCUCCAGCAGAACCACCCCUGACACUCCAGGAGGGCUACAGCCACAAUUCCAACUGGACUGCUGCCAACACCCUGACCCACAGGGUGUCACGUUGUGUUCUGACUCUGGCAGUGUGGGUUUAGUUUACGGCAUUGUUUAUUUUAUUUUCUUCCCUAAUAAAGAUCUGUUAUCCCUGCUCCUAUAUCUUUGCUUGAGAGCCCCACAUUCCAAAUUCAUAGCACAGGGAGGGGAUUUACAUUUUCCAUUUCAGGGGAGGCUCCUGCCUUCCUUAGCAGACUCCUGUCUGUUCAAACCAAGACAGAUUUUGGCGCCAAUAUGCAGCUUGAGGGCAUUGAGAGAAAAAGGAAUAACAGUUCUUGAGUAAUCUAAUUUUUGUGUGCUGCUAUUGAAACCUCGUUAGGUGUCACCAUGUGGUCCAGCUUACCCUGCUUUGGGUGGCACAUGGCCCUGGCUACACUUCUCCCAUUUGCAGGCCCUUAUCUCAACAUGGGUCCUGUAACCAAGGCUACUGUGGCUGUUAUCCAGUUUGCUUUACAGGUUAAUAAGGUGAGCAAUUAACGGAUUUUUAACUUCCUCUGGAAAGCAGGCACAUGGAUUCAGAGCUACCACACCCUAACUGUACAGUUUUGGGGUCACUUUAAUAAUGGCACCCACUGUGAGGAAAUGACACCGGGAGAAAUUUUCUCUCAACCCUUCACCCAGCUCUUUGGGUCUGCCCCACCAGUUUUCGAAGGGUUCAGAUCCACUCUAAAUGCUAAUGAUAUCAGACAGUGGCUGGUGUUGCUGAUAGGCCUGUUAACCCUUUUUAUUUAGCAUUCAGUGAUAAGGGAAGGCUGACUUGGAUAACCACCCUGACACCUGUGGUAAUCACAUAUCCUCUGAACAGAGAGAGAGACAGCUCUGCCAGGAUUUUCCUGGGAAGCUGUGAGGAGCUGUGGCAAACUUAGAGAAAAGAAUUCAAACAAUUAUUCUCUCUCUUUCUGCAACCAUUAUUUAUAGAUAGGGUUCUCCAGAGUGUGCUAUUCAUAGUUCACCAAGAGUGUGAGAGGUUUUCACUUUGAGACCAAUCAGAUCUCACCUUAGCGAGUCACACUAUACAAGACCCGCUGCUUUCAUUAAAUGCUUUUUGCCUCCUGAUCCACCUGAGGACCGGAGUCUUUCAUUCCAUCCCUGACUCAACAGCGUCAUCCGGUGACCGCCGACGUGUGCUGCAGCCUAGGCUGGAGGCACAGGGUCUGCUGGACCCCGACCUUUGGUGCAGCCGAGGCUGAAGAAACAGGACCUUAAGGGAUCCGGCCGAGUUCACAGCUGAGACUGAACAUGGGCGGGGUCUGGUGACCCCUCAUGGAAUCGCAGGACAGCCGGGACACGUCCUGAGAUGAGCGACCCAGCGACCCUCUGCGAUCGGACACCGUUUGCCCUCUUGAGUGAGGUAACUCUGCCUUUGCCCCGUGUCUUCCUGAGGAGACUGGUCCUGUUCAGACCACAGGGUUGGGGGCAAACGACAGACCAAACAAACCUCCCCCGGGAGGCUGAGAACUGAGCAGGGGAUGGCUUUUCCCGAAACAGCAGACUGUCUGUCUCUUGAAGUGGACGCCUGCUGAGGGAUGGGUUUUCCUUAAAAAUGGGGAACCAACCUUCCAGAGAUGAACAACUUGUUCUGGCCAUGCGGAGGAAUGUCAUACCUCCCAUGGGAAUUGCAGUCUCAGAUGAAGUGCUCUGUGAUCUGCUGGGCUGGGCCAGAGAUCACGGGUUCCUGGUGGAGCUGGGCGCUGCACUGAGUCUGAGAACUUGGGAGGAAUUGGGGGAUUGCCUCUGGGAUGAGGUUUGCAGAGGGGACGCAGUCGUGUCCGCACCGAUCGUCACCUGGAGAUGCAUUUCUAAAUUCCUUCGGUGCAAGGUCCUGGGGAGCAGAGCACUGACAAAGCCAACUUGUUUUUCACCUCUUGUCAAAAGUACAUAUUAUAUGGCUCUAUGCAGAUAUUUACUAUGUGUAUUAUGUAUGAUUAGUAGUGCUGUAUUAACAUUUUAAUAGUAUUGUAAUUGUAGUUUUGCAGUUAAAAUGUAACUUUUGUAGUUAAAAUAGAAACUAUGUGUGCGGGAUUAUUUUUAAAGAAAGGAAUAAGGCACUCACACCAGAGAGCAGCCACAGGACAUCUACAUCUUUCAGAGAAAAAGAAUUUAUUGCUCCAUCAUCAGAAGAAACCAACUUCUUCCUGCCUUGCUCAGCCAUGAAUAUGCCGUCAGGAUUCAGAGGACGAAGUUGACACUGACCAGGCAGAAUCCUUUGUUUGAAUGGAAUUCAUGCAUCAUGUAUGAUGUGUAUGAAUAUGCCUAUUGCUUUUAAGGAUUAAUCCUCUGUUAAGGUGUGUCCUUUUUUGGGCUUAUUUUGCCCAGAGAGAGGUACCUGGACUUUUCAUAACUCUUUGUUUUUAUUGUCUUGUAUUGUCCUAAUCCAAAUUGUUCAAAUGUUUAUUACUUUAAUUAUAUUACUAUUUUUAUAACCAUUUUAUUACUAUUAAACUUUUAAAAUUCUGAAAAUAA